rnacentral:lncRNA from 1 species
GUGGGGUGGGGUGGGAGGCAGUGGUUGGCUUAUAGCUAUUGUUUUUACAAAAAGCCUUUCUCCCUACAAAUUUUAAAGGCAAUAGAAGUUCAUUAGUAAAUUGAAAAAAUAUAGGAACCCAUGAGAAAUUUAAAAAAGUACUUACUUGUACCACCCAGAGGAAACUACUAAAAUUUUGGUUUAUAGUCUUCCAACUUUUUCUGUUUUACUAUAAAGAGUAAUAUUGAUAUUUGAUACAAAAUUUCUAGUUUUUCAUUAUGACAAAUAAUAGUGUGAUAAAAAUCUUGGUGUGUGGUCAUUGAUUGCAUCUCUGAGGUUAUUUCCUCUUGAAGUUUUCUAGAACUCAUAUAUUUGCUUUUUUUUUUGAGAUGGAGUCUCACUCUGUCACCUCGGCUGGAGUGCAGUGGUGUGAUAUUGGCUCACUGCAACCUCCGCCUCCUGGGUCUAAGCAAUUCUCCUGCCUCAGCCUCCCAACUAGCUGGGACUACAGGUGUGCCACCACACAUAGCUAACACUUUUUACAUUUGUAUGCUUUUUUGGGAGAAUUUCACUGUUUAAAAUAGCUCCCAAGAAUAGUGCUCAAGUGCUGUCUAGGGUUUCCAAGUGCCAGAAGGCUGUUAUGUGCCUUCAGAGAAGAUGCAUGUGUUAGACAAGCCUCACUUAGUCAUGCGCUACAGUGCUAUUGGCUGUAAUAUUAAUGUUAAUGAAUGAAUGACAUGUAGUAAAUGAGGUGUCUUUAAAGAGAACACUCAUAGAACAAGGUUAUGUAUUGACUGGUUGAUGAAAAUGUUGUGAGCAGAGGCUUGCAGGAACCUAACCCUGUAUGUCCCAUAGGAGCUGUAGUUCAGUAUUUGUAAUUCAGUGCUUGCAGUGACUUUAUUGAACAUAACUACCAGGAAUAAUGAGAAUUGAGUGUGUAUGUUUAUGUGUGUAUAUGUGUGUUUUCCAAUGUGCAGCACUCUCAUCUAAUCUGGUUGGAUUGUAAAUUUGUGUAAUUUGGAAAGCAGUGUAUUGAGUAUCCAAAAAUGCACAAUAUUUGAAUCUAUUUAUUAAUCUAAUCAAUAUUAAUUAUAAAGGAAU